UCCCUGGUAGCUCAGCGGUAGAGCAUUCGACUGUUAAUCGACAGGUCGCCG
rnacentral:tRNA from 1 species